UAAAAUACACAGCUUGUCUUCAGCUCCAUCCUGUCCUCUGACUCUGGACAGUAUUACUGUGUUGCUGUAAACAGUUGGGGAGCAGGACAUCUCAAUCCAUCUCUAUUGAUGUGAAAUAUGGUCCCAAGCGUCCCUCUGUGUCAGUGAGUCCCUCUGCUGAGAUAGUGGAGGGCAGUUCAGUGACUCUGACCUGUAGCAGUGAUGCUAACCCAGCAGCUAACUACACCUGGUACAAGGAGAAUGAAGACUCACCAAAAGCAUCAGGACAGAUCUUCACCAUCUGAGACGUCAGAGCU